UUUAAUUCAUAUAAAUACGAUAUUAAUGAUUCAAAAAUCAUUUUAAAUGAUACUAAUUAUCUGAAAAUUAUUACGAGUUUAGGAAAAUUAUUUUGAUUGAUAAUAUAAUUAUCUAAGAUAAUUGUUGAGUGUUUAGGCAGAGUUUAAUGGAACUUAAACUCAAUAUUUAUCCGACUAGGCCAUCGGGAUGUCAGAAUUGUACCGAACUUAACUCAGACUAUAAAAGUUUGACUUGAGGUUAAGUCUUAUGUGUGUUAUAGACGGAUAUGAUUAUGUGAUAAUGUGUUUAGGUUAUUUUAAAUAUUGUAAUAAUAUUAUUCUAAUUUGUAUAUCAAUAUUAUUUAUAUAUUAGGUCUUCAGACAAAGCUUAUUAAAAUGUGUAACGAUAAUCAACGAAACAGGCAAGUUUUUCUUAACUCGACCUCGAGUUGUAUUUUUCAAUUAUACUUGUGGUUAAUCAUUUCUGAUUGCCAUGUUUAAGAAUUAUUAAAUCGCACUCUGUGCAUACUGCAUGUAUUCAUCAGGUAUGAAAGGAUGAUCACCUUCAUUACCAUUCAGUCCAGAUAUAUAUAUGUUCAUGUUCAAAGUUCAUUCAGGUAUAUAAAUUUGUUCAUGCUAGUUCGCAAUUAUAUUGUAGAACUAUAGCCAGCUUUUGUUCAAUUCUUUCAAUCAUGAUAUAUCCUUAAUUUAUUGAGCUUAAACUUACUGGGAAAACUUAUUGCUCACCCUUGCUAUAUCAUGACAAACAUUGCAGAUUUAGGCAAAUACGUUCGGAUACAGGAAAGGACAAAGCCAAGUUUAGCUUGGGAUAAUAUGUACAGAUAAUUGUAAUAGUAUAGUAGGAUAAUAAUGUUAUAUGUUAGACAGGUUAUGAAUUGUGUAUAAGUUAAGGUUACUCGACCUUGGGGAAUAGUGUGUAAAGUUUAUUGUAUAAGCAAUUUAUGUUUAUAUCUUUCGCAAUAGUUUUAAACGAAUUGUAUCAGAUCCGUGGUGAUUUGGGACACAGAUUUGGGGCUCUCACACUUAAUAUCCUGCAACAAGAAUAAAAACUCAUCAAAAGAAACAUGAAAUACUCAAAAACUAACAAAAUCUCAACCUAAAUAAAGAUAAAUCGUAGGUUAAAAACCUACUCAUCAAUCCUCACCUCUUCGACAUACCAGGUACGUACAUCAAUUUUGAGGACAAAAUUUCAUAAGGAGGGGAGGUUGUAAGACCCCAACUUUUUAUGAAUAAAGAUUUAAUUUCUCUAAUUAUUAUUUUGAAUAAUAAGGUGUUGAUUUGAUAUAAUGCUUUAGUUAUAGGUGAAAUGUGCAAAUUUUGCAAAGUAAGCAAGUUGUCAUAAAAUAUUUGUUUGGUGGGGGAAUUUUCUUUUUGUCAGGAAUAUCUAUACGACGGCAUAAUCAUUGGUGGACCACAUAAUAGAAUAACUGUCGGAUAUUGAAAGUGAUAGAAAAAACAUUUUUAUAAAAAAUAACGACAAAACUUUUACCGUUAAUUUGUUGAAAUACUUGGUGAUAAAAGUACAGUAAUACACGUGGUUGCACAGUAGCACACGGUAUUGCACAGUAUCUCUGAUUAUUGAUUCUUACGUAAGAAGGCAAUCAAUAAUUGAUACAGUAAAAUUGAAUAGUCUUUCAUAUUAUUGAUUCAAUACAGUAUCUCUUUUCUUUGUCCAACUUAUUUUUUAUGAAUCUUAUCCUUGAAAUUGAAUCCAUGUUAUGAACUCACUUGAUUCAUUCUUUAUGUCAUUGUCAUAAUUCUCAGACUUAAAUUAUGUUGAAAGUUAUCUUUGGCUCGUAGUGAAAAGAUAAACUGUUGAUUGAUAUCUCUGGCUCGUAGUGCAAAUAUGAAUUGUUGAUUGAUAUCUUUGGCCUAUUGUGCAAAGAUAGACAGAUGUUUGACAUGAUCAUGACCACUGGUGAUACAAACAAUUAUCUUUGGCCCGUAGUGCAUAGAUAAUUCGUUGUUUGGAAAUAAUUAUUGGUAGAUGUUACAGGAAUAAAAUAUUGAUGAUGGACUGUUAAAAUCAUAAGAAGAUAGUAGACAUCAUGCUCUACUUGACUCUUCUAAUGGAUUGUUGUUUCCGCUGCAGUUGUUGAUCUAAAAUUUGUUGUCUAUUGUAUUAUAGUAGAUUUUUCCCUGUUGAAAACUAAGGAUAAUUUGUUCUUUAUUAUCUUAGUCAUAAUGUUCUUUACUGGACUAUUUGAACUCACCCUUUUCCUUUUGGUUCCAUUGUUCUUCUCAGGAGGCGAGAAUAUAGCUGGGACUAGUCGGGGAGUGGAGUAAUGAUUCAAGAUGGUUAUUAUAGCAGUCCUCAUUAUUUUGUAAAAUAGUGUAAAAAUAAUUGUAAUGAGGACUUUAUUUGAGUUUGGAUAUUGUCUAUAAGACAAUAUUUGUAUUAAACUCACAUCAUAUGUGUUGUCCUAUUUUGCACGACAGUUGUAUUAAUGAAGU
rnacentral:lncRNA from 1 species